rnacentral:rRNA from 1 species
UGAUGACGAGACGCUAAGGCGUUGAAGCAGUGUAUGUCAGACUUCCAAGAAAAGCUCGCAAUGUCACAAAUAAAAGAUGCCUGUACCAUAACCGACACAGGUGGGUAGGUAGAGUAUACUAAGGGGCGCGAGAUAACUCUCUCUAAGGAACUCGGCAAAAUGACUCCGUAACUUCGGGAGAAGGAGUGCCUUAUUUAUAAGGUUGCAAUAACAAGAUCCAAGCAACUGUUUAUCAAAAACACAGGUCUCCGCUAAGUCGUAAGACGAUGUAUGGGGGCUGACGCCUGCCCAGUGCCAGAAGGUUAAAGAAGUUGGUUAGUGUAUGCGAAGCUGAUGACUGAAGCCCUGGUGAACGGCGGCCGUAACGAUAACGGUCCUAAGGUAGCGAAAUUCCUUGUCGGGUAAGUUCCGACCCGCACGAAAGGCGUAAUGAUUUGGAUACUGUCUCGGAGAGAGGCUCGGUGAAAUAGACUUGUCUGUGAAGAUGCGGACCACCUGCACCAGGACAGAAAGACCCUAUGAAGCUUUACUGUAACUUGAAAUUGGAAUUGGACUUUGCUUGCGCAGUAUAGGUGGGAAGCGUUGAAAAUAUUCUUGCGGGAGUAUUGGAGCUAUCAGUGAGAUACCACUCUUGUAAUGUUAGAUUUCUAACUUUGAACCAUAAUCUGGUCAAAGAACAGUUUCAGGUGGGCGGUUUGACUGGGGCGGUCGCCUCCCAAAUGGUAACGGAGGCGUACAAAGGUUUCCUCUGAACGGAUAGAAAUCGUAUCUAGAGUGUAAAGGCAUAAGGAAGCUUGACUGUGAGACCUACAAGUCGAGCAGGGACGAAAGUCGGUCUUAGUGAUCUGACGGUACUGAGUGGAAAGGCCGUCACUCAACGGAUAAAAGUUACUCUAGGAUAACAGGCUGAUCUCCCCCAAGAGUUCACAUCGACGGGGAGGUUUGGCACCUCGAUGUCGGCUCAUCGCAUCCUGGGGCGGUAGUACGUCCCAGGGGUUGGGCUGUUCGCCCAUGAAAGCGGUACGCGAGCUGGGUUCAGAACGUCGUGAGACAGUUCGGUCCAUAUCCGGUGUAGGCGCUAGAAUAUUGAGAGGAGCCUUCUUUAGUACGAGAGGACCGAGAAGGACACACCGCUGGUGUACCAGUUAUCGUGCCAACGGUAAACGCUGGGUAGCUAUGUGUGGAGUGGAUAACCGCUGGAAGCAUCUAAGUGGGAAGCCCACCUCGAGAUGAG